GGUCAAUGAUUUUUUUUUUUUUUGGCUGACAUCAACCAUGUGCCUCCCCAAGACCUUUAAUACCCUCACUCCAAAGAGCCGUUGGGAUCUGGGAUCCGGGCCCUGGGAGAGCUUGGCUAAAGCACACCCCUGGUUCCUACCUUCCAGCGCGGGUCCGGACUCACCGCGCCCCAGCACUGGUGCGGACUGCGCUGGGCGCACUAGAGUUCAUUCUGCGCAGCCUCGACCCGCGACCCCGAGAGCAGAGGCUGCAGACAGACAGACGCCUGGUGUCCGUCUGGGAAUCAAAGGAAGAAGGCACUUCUCUCACCGGGAGCGCCGAGCCCAGCUGAGACCAGCCAGCUCACAUGCCCCACAAGCCUCUGACUUGCUGGGGCCCUUCUUGAGGCAUUGGGAUGAGUUUGCCAUAAGCAAGGUCCCUUCACCUACCCAGGGACCUUGGGCCAUUGCAAAAUUGCUUGCUUCUUUUUUGAUUCUAAAAAGGUCAUAAUUUUAAAAAUUACAGUUUUUCCUUGGGGUCCACAUUCCCCACGAAAUUAAGAUCUAUCCUUCUCCAGAAGCUCAGGGGGCCUCCUUGGGACAAGGUGGGACACUGCCAUUCCAUGUUCUUCUACAUCUACUCCCAAGGCAGUUAGGGGGUGGGGAGAGGGGGACACAGACACAAGUACAAAUGCACACUUUAAAAAAUCUUCCUCCUCCUUCUGGGCUAGUGGUGUAGCUCCGUGGGGGAAGGAACACUUGCCUAGUAGGAGGGAGGCCCUGGGUCCAAGCCCCAGGACUGCAAAAGAACAGGGAACACCAAUGUGCCUUUUAACAGUGUGAAGAGAAACAAGCCCAGAGAGGCCUUGCCACUGGCUCAAGGUCAAACAGCCAGCAGAAAGUAAUGCCCAGAACCUUAACGAAUCCUGAGAGUAUACUGAGUCCAAAAUGUGGCCCAAAUUGGCCUCCGAACUACUUAAGCUUAAGGCUCUUGGUUAUUGUUCUUCUUUGAUGAUGGCACAUGUAAACUGGUUUGAAAAACAAAAACUUUGGUGUGCAGAGGGCCAGAGGCAUGGGAAGGCCAAAAGGACCAGCUUAGCUCUUAAUUACUCUGUUUUUUAGCCUUUAGGAUGACAAAAUACAAUAAUGGAGAGCUUCUCUGAAAAUAGACACUAAAAAAUACCAUUUUGAGAAUAUUGUAUUCAAGCCUAAGAAGACCCUCAGUGAAGUCAGGAGUAGAGCUUCAAUUAGACGGAAAGAGCACAGUCCUUGGGGAGGGGGGUAGCCAGAUUGGGGGAUCCUAGAUCCUGCGUGGCUUCCAGGUCUCUAGAGAGGAUUGUCCCCAGAAAUGUUCGGGCUCCUCACUUACACCAGGUGUGCACCCAAACCACCAACAGAAGCACACAGAGGCAUCUCUGCCCGCAUUGGCUUGGUCCCUCCAAACACUUCCUAGACACUCACAGCCCAACGGAGGGUCGCCAGGAAGAAAGUUCAAGUCGACGGUCUAAGUGGUCUUUAACACCCCCCAACUCUCUCAGCCUCUCUGUUUACCCAUGUGAACGGCUCCUCUUCCCCCACCCCGCACUUCCACCCCCCUCCUUUCCGAGGUCA
rnacentral:lncRNA from 1 species